rnacentral:rRNA from 1 species
UACGUAGGGGGCAAGCGUUGUCCGGAAUUACUGGGCGUAAAGCGUGCGUAGUCGGUUAUCUAAGUCAGGUGUGAAAUCCCCGGGCUCAACCUGGGAAUUGCAUUUGAUACUGGAUAGCUAGAGUUCGGCAGAGGGAAGUGGAAUUUCUGGUGUAGCGGUGAAAUGCGUAGAUAUCAGAAGGAACAUCAGUGGCGAAAGCGACUUCCUGGACCAGAACUGACGAUCAGGCACGAAAGCGUGGGGAGCAAACAGG